GGGAAACGGACAGAGGGGCCUGGCCCAGGCCCCAUAUCAAACUUUUGGGGCU
rfam:Fukomys damarensis contig156356, whole genome shotgun sequence.